UACAGAGGUGGCAAGCGUUGUUCGGAAUUACUGGGCGUAAAGGGCGCGUAGGCGGCCUUCUAAGUCAGACGUGAAAUCCCCCGGCUUAACCUGGGAACUGCGUCUGAUACUGGAGGGCUUGAGUGCGGGAGAGGGAUGUGGAAUUCCAGGUGUAGCGGUGAAGUGCGUAGAUAUCUGGAGGAACACCGGUGGCGAAGGCGGCAUCCUGGACCGACACUGACGCUGAGGCGCGAAAGCUAGGGUAGCAAACGGG
rnacentral:rRNA from 1 species